GAGGACAAUACCAGCCUCUGGCACACAGACGAUGGUUGAGAAAUGCUUGUUGGCUGGGUGUGGUGGUGCAAGCCUGUAAUCACAGCACUUUGGGAAGUCAAGAAUUGCAGCCAUUUGCCUGGUUAUGUGCAAGGAAGGAAAACCCAAAAUAUUACCUAUGAGAGAGGAGAUGCUGAGCUCUGACUGGAACCAUGAGAAGCUGUAACCCUCUUCAUCUCUUUUGGGCCAAGGAUCUGCCCUCUUCUGACACUGGGCAGAGUAAGAAUGGGAGGUGGCAGUUACAGUGUAUUUUUGCUUUGUUUAUGUCUGGUGAGUCAGCAAAUCUCAGUCAGAGGAAAUAGAAACCAAUCUCAGUUAUACCUUUGUAACUAGCAAAAUGUCUUUUGAUUGGACUAAGAGACCUCCUCGGGUUCACAUUCUCUACUUUCAGAGUCUUGCUGGCAUCUUCUGGGUACCAAGGCACUCAAUUUUGGCUAUGGACAUGGAGGCUGCGUUCCAGAAUCAUUUCGGUGAUUUUUAUCCUUCUCCUUUGAGCUACAUUUUUUUUUUUUUUUUUUUUUAAGACGGAGUUUUUCUCUGUCAUCCAGGCUGGCAUGCAGUGGCACGAUCUUGGCUCACUGCAACCUCCACCUCCCGGGUUCAAACGAUUCUCCUGCCUCAGCUUCCCAAGUAGCUGGGAUUACAGGCGCCUGCCACCACGCCCAGCUAAUUUUUUUAUUUUUUGUAGAGACAGGGUUUCACCAUGUUGGCCAGGCUGGCCUCGAAAUUCCUGACCUCAGGUGAUCCACCCGCCUUGGCCUCCCAAAGUGCUGGGAUUACAAGCGUGAACCACCGCGCCCGGCCCCUUGAGCCAUUCUUAUUUUCUCUAUAACAACUCCAAAAUGAAAGUUCAAGCAAAUGGCAUUCCCCCUCUGCUUCCCUCCUUCCCCUAUUCCCUAUCCCAUGAUGAACACAGCAGUUACAAUGAUACCUAAACUGGGUGUUUAUUAGGCUGAGGAAUGUAUUUGCUUUCAUUUUUAAUAAUAGAGAAUCCCGGACAGCUAUUAUUCAGAUGUAUUCCUAAUUGUUUUGUUUCCAGGUAUUAUUGUAUAUGGACUUAAAAAUUUUCCUUUCCAAUUUCUUGUUGCUAGUGUCUAGAAAUAAAAUUGAUUUUUGUGUGUUGACUUUGCA